UCACGCAACUCCAAAGCACAUUCUUAUUAUUUCGACUGCACGCGUCAGGUCAGAACAUUUCGUGCACGGCUGGCACUGAGCGGCUCGCACAUUGUUCCGCGCUGAGUAAACAGACUCAAACGCCGGUGUUUUUUCGCUGGGGAGGUCGCCUCUCCCACACGAAGGCCUGAACAAACACUUUUUCACCAUUUUACAGUUUCCCCGGACGGGAGGAGAGUCCCGUUGGCCAGGCAGGUUAAUUCAGGUGUGUCCUGGCUUAACCAUUAAACUUGACUGCGGCUGACCAAACAUUCACUUGGGAGAAAAAUGUCGGGAAAGGUCAUUUUUCUGCUUUCUGUGGCGCUUUCGUCGGCUCAGCAGCUCUGCACACCAGGCGCUUCGGAUGGCUACAAAGUUCGGCUGAGCAUCCGAACGGCUCUGGGAGACAACGCGUAUGUCUGGAGCCAAAACGAAUUGUUCCUCUUUCGAGCCACGCUGGCUUUCGCCAUGAGGAAUCAUUUUGACGGCCAGGACUUCCAGUAAGGGAAAAAAUAUUUUGUUCAUUUCAACGCUUACGUAGAGUGAUGCUUUGAGAUACGAAAGACCUGCUGAGUGACCUGCACUGCAGGCUGACAAUGAAUUAAACUCAACUUAGUUCACAACAAGCAGCGGUUUGAGAGAUAGUACAGAAAAAAAAAAGGAUUCAAGGUGUCAAAUGCCACUCCCAGUUUACUGUCAAGCUAACGCCUCUCUUAGCUUAAUGCUAACAUAUCAUGGGAAAUGCUUUAGAUGGGCAUCUUUGUGGCAGUCUCAUAACCCUUUUAGACUAAUAUUAAUGCAAUGAAGUUCAAUGUUAUAGAGUGCCAUUUAAAGACAAAAAAAGUAUUGCAAUUUUUUUUUAUGUUUGGGAGGCUGGAACGAAUUAAGCGCAUUUCCAUUCAUUUCAGUGGAGCAAGUCGAUUUGAAAGACAAACGUUUUAAGAUUGCCACUAUGAUCACAUUUAGAAAUCUUUUCAUUUUUCU